AUGCACAAAAUGCUCGAGUCCUUGACUGGGGACGAACAUGAACACAUUAAGGGUUUGCAGGCGCUGCAGGGCACCCUAGAAUCUUCAUUGAAAUCGAGAAGGGUCCUACUUGUUUUGGAUGACAUGUGGGAGGAUAGCCAAAAGGGAAAAUGGGAUGAGCUGCUAACUCCACUGCUUUCCAGUGAUGUCCUGGGAAAUAAAAUUCUGGUGACAACUCGGAAGCCAUCUGUUGCAAAAUUGAUUGAAGCUGCAGACCGGGUUAAUCUGGCUGGUAUAAAUGAAGGCGACUUUUGGAAUUUCUUUAAAGAAUGUGCCUUCGGAGAUGAGGAGUACAAAGUUGGACAGAAGCUCAAGGAAAUUGGAAAGAGCAUGCUUGUCCAGUUAAAGGGUAAUCCUUUAGCAGCAAAAAGUGUUGGCAAAUUAUUGAGAAAGAAUCGUACUGUUGAUUUCUGGAGGAGAAUUCUGAAAGAUAGUGAAUGGAAGCAACAGUCGGAUGACUACGAUAUCAUGCCGGCCUUGAUGGUCAGCUACAAAUAUUUACCAGUGCACCUCCAGCGGUGCUUCUCAUACUGUGCUGUUUUCCCAAAGUAUUAUAAGUAUGAGAAAGAAUGUUUGGUCAAUAUGUGGAUAGCCCAAGGUUUGAUAUGCUCCAUUGACAACAUGCAUAAACGAAUGGAGGACAUUGGAAUUGAAUUUUUCAGUGACCUAGUUGAAUGGGGAUUUCUUCAAAAGGAAUUUGAACUUGUGAAUGUGACCAUACAUACCAUGCAUGAUCUCAUUCAUGGUUUGGCACAGAAGGUUUCAUCUCACGAAAGCUUCACCAUAGGGGACACUGAGUCCAGAAAAGCACCACAGCUUGUUCGACAUGUCAGUAUAAUUGCUGGGUUGGUGUAUGAGACAGAAACGGAUGGCACCGUGCAUCCUAAUGAGACUUUCCGACGUGAAUUUUUGAAAUCAUUCUGUGAGUUGCAACAAACUAGUAACUUGAGCACAUUGUUGCUGUUUGGUCCACAUGACUCUGAUUUUGCACGCUCAUUUUGCCAGGAAUUCAAUGAGGUAAAGUCAGUUCGUGUGUUGAAAUUGGACAUGGUACCCUUUGAUUUGGAUUUAAUGAUCGGAAAUAUCUCAUCAUUUAUCAAUCUUCGCUACCUGGAGUUGGGCUGCCUUUAUAAGGGCCCCAGGUUGGAACUUCCAGAGGCUAUAUGUAGGCUUUAUCAUUUGGAAGUACUUGAUAUAAAGAAAAACUGGGGAACUAGCACAGUUUUACCGAGAGACAUGAACAAGCUUGUUAAGUUACGUCAUUUUAUUGCCAGGGAUGAGUUGCAUGCAAAAAUAGUGGGUGUUGGGGAGAUGGUUUCCCUUCAAGAGCUCAAGGCAUUUGAUGUCCGAAAGGCAAGUGAGUUCAGCAUAAUACAGUUCAGAAGAUUGAAUCAGCUCAGAGGAUCAAUUAGGAUUUGCAAUCUUGAUGAUGUAGGAAGCAAAGACGAGGCCAUCAACGCAAGAAUCUCUGACAAGGUCCACCUCACUGGUUUGCAUUUAUCAUGGAACACUGUGUCUGAGGAUAGAGUUCAUACUGAAAGUAAAGUUGAUAUCCUCGAGGAUCUUAAACCACACGCCGGACUUAUAGAUCUGGGAAUCAUAGCAUACCGACAUCCUGUACCUUCAUGGCUCAGCAACAAUAUUCACCUCACCUCAUUGCGGUCCCUUCAUCUGGAUAGCUGCUCUUACUGGAAAACAAUUCCAACGCCCCACCAGUUGCCUCUGCUCCGUGAGUUGAGGUUGAGUAAGAUGGUUCGUGUUUCCAAAAUAGAGAUUGGAUGUUUGGAGGUACUGGAACUACGCACUUUGCACCGUUUAACACAGUGCAUAGCUUUGGACAAGGAGCAGUUAUCUGUGAAUUUGCGGGUUCUUGAAGUAGAUGACUGCUUUCGAUUGAAGGAAUUCCCUUUGUUAUUUAUCUCUAAAGAUACAUUAAUUAGUGAAUCUCAGUUUACUCAUCUUCACAGACUUAAGGUUCGUGGUUGCUUUGGUCACAUUAGCAUCUCACAACUUUUGCACAUGGACUCUUUAUUGUACAUAGAUUUGUUCUUGAGGCCAAGUUUGGAGGAAUUUCGACUUGUACCGAUCGGCCAAUCAGAUGGGCUGCGCAUGGAAAUCAAAGGAACUGCGGAAGUUAAGAGCAUAGAGGAAAAUUUGUUCCCGUUCAACAAACUGAGGGACCUGGAGGAGCUUGAAAUAACAGAUUAUCCAGGUUUGAUGUACCUACCAUGGGAAGGCCUUCAAAAGUUGGCAUCAUUGAAAACAUUCAAGAUGAGUAACUUCGGCAAAUUAUUUUCUUGUAUGUCUAUAUGGGGGCUCUCUCUCCCCCCAUCAGUCCAAGAACUAGAGUUUAGUUCGUGCAACAUCACACCGGAACAACUGUCUCAAGUCCUGCUGAGUCUUCCGUUACUCAAGAAAUUCAGUUUAACUAAUUGUGAAAAGGUGACAUCCUUACCUAUAGGGCUGUUUACAGAUGAACACAGCCAAACAGUGUUAGGCUCCUGGCAUAUCGCUCCCAACCUCUUGACGACUCUGGAAAUCUUGCAGAUCUCAUUCAGACUGACAGCUCGUCCGGAAGAAACUUCAGUGAUGCACUUUUGGAGCAAGCAAUGCCUGGGAAAGUUCACCUCUCUUAAGAAAGUUGUCAUUGAAGAUUGCCCUAAUCUCCUAUCUACUAUGAUUUCAGGAGGAAUGUCUCAUAUACCUCCAUCUUCUCUAGUAAUACUUGAAGUGCAUGGCAUCACAGACAGCUGUCUGCAAUUAUCAGAACUCUCUUCCCUCACUGAUUUACGUGUCAGUGCUUGCGCAUCCUUAACAUGUCUCAACUUGGAUUGUCACACUGCAUUGCGAGAGCUGAAUAUUUUAGGAUGCGGCAUGUUAUCAUCACUUGAAGGUAUGCAGUCAUGUGAGGCAUUGCGGCAGUUUAGCAUCUAUGAUUGCAAGGCGCUUUGUUCACUCAGAGUAUCGCUCGGCAACCUGACAACACUGAGCAUAGAGAGCAAUCCCAAUUUGGCAUAUCUAGACCUGAAUUCUUGUACGGCACUGCAGAAACUGUGCAUCGAAGGCUGCGCUACGACGGCAUCGUGGGAUGGUCUUAAAUCCCUUGGAGCUCUCGAGAACUUGAAAGUUAAAAAUUCUCCAGGCUUCACAAGGUCAUGGCAACUAGCAUCGGCCGACGUUGAGAGCAAGCACAUCAGCUACUUCCCGCGAAGACUGCAAGUGCUUAAUAUUGAUGACAUUGGUGUCCUAUGUGUGCCUAUUUGCAGCCAGUUAACCUCUCUGAAGACACUCACCAUUCACGGAUCUAUUUAUUGCCGGCGUGACUAUGUGGACGCUUUGACGGAUGAUCAUGAGAAAGCACUGCUACUUGUCACCUCCUUGAGAGGCCUCGAAAUUGAUCAGUUUGAGCAUCUCCGGUCACUGCCUGCAGGGCUUGAAUGCCUUACAAGACUGCAAAGUCUGAUUGUUAGCAGGUGUGGACUUAUCACAUCCCUACCAGUGGGGGGUGUCCUGGCGUCGCUCAGGGACAUGGAAGUCCAUGGUUGCAGCGAGGAGCUAACUGCACAAUGCCGAGCGAUGUGUAGAGAUCGAAAGAUAUAUUUUUCCGUUGGUGCUUAUACCGUUGGUUCAGUAGAAACAGACUAG
rnacentral:rRNA from 1 species